GGGGAAUAUUGCGCAAUGGGGGGAACCCUGACGCAGCAACGCCGCGUGAGUGAAGAAGGUCUUCGGAUCGUAAAACUCUGUCAUCGGGGACGAAGAAGUGACGGUACCCGAGGAGGAAGCCCCGGCUAACUACGUGCCAGCAGCCGCGGUAAUACGUAGGGGGCGAGCGUUGUCCGGAAUUACUGGGCGUAAAGGGUGCGUAGGCGGUCUGUUAAGUCAGAUGUGAAAUACCAUGGCUCAACUGUGGGGUUGCAUUUGAAACUGUCAGGCUAGAGUGCAGGAGAGGGAAGUGGAAUUCCUAGUGUAGCGGUGAAAUGCGUAGAGAUUAGGAGGAACACCAGUGGCGAAGGCGGCUUCCUGGACUGUAACUGACGCUGAGGCACGAAAGCGUGGGUAGCGAAC
rnacentral:rRNA from 1 species